GUUGCCUUUAUUUAUCUUGCAGGACUACUGCAUAAUGAGAGCCUUCUUUGUCUUUUGCAUUGUAUUGAUAUGUUUGUCGGGUUUGGAUCAUACUGAUGCUGCUGUUAAGUGCUUUAAAAGUUACUGCAGUAACGAUGCUGGUUGCAGACAGGGAUGUCUCGCCAAUGGUUGUGGCUCGAAACAUUUCUGCAGUGUCAAAGAAAAGCAAUGCUGCUGUGAUGGUUGUAUUUCUGAAUAACAACAGGAAAAUUUCAAACAUAACAUUUUGAGCAGUGCAGAGAACGUGUUUAUCUAUGCAUAUUGAAUUGUUACAUUAAUCUACGAUCUGAAAUUAACAUUUAUCUGACAUUUUGAUUUGUCGAUAGAUUUAUGAAUUAAAGUAUUGUUAACUAUCA